rnacentral:rRNA from 1 species
CUACGGGAGGCAGCAGGCGAGAAAACUUUGCAAUGUGCGAAAGCACGACAAGGUUAAUCCGAGUGGUUUCUGCUAAAGGAACCUUUUGUCGGUCCUAGAAACACCGAUGAAUAAGGGGUGGGCAAGUUCUGGUGUCAGCCGCCGCGGUAAAACCAGCACCUCAAGUGGUCAGGAUGAUUAUUGGGCCUAAAGCAUCCGUAGCCGGCUCUGUAAGUUUUCGGUUAAAUCUGUACGCUUAACGUACAGGCUGCCGGGAAUACUGCAUAGCUAGGGAGUGGGAGAGGUAGACGGUACUCGGUAGGAAGGGGUAAAAUCCUUUGAUCUAUUGAUGACCACCUGUGGCGAAGGCGGUCUACCAGAACACGUCCGACGGUGAGAGAUGAAAGCUGGGGGAGCAAACCGGAUUAGAUACCCUUGUAGUC